CACGGGGGGAGCAAGCGUUGUUCGGAAUCACUGGGCGUAAAGGGCGUGCAGGCGGCCUGGUAAGUGGGAUGUGAAAUCCCUCGGCUCACCCGAGGACCGGCAUCCCAAACUGCCCGGCUUGAGUAUGGGAGAGGAUGAGGGAAUUCCUGGUGUAGCGGUGAAAUGCGUAGAUAUCAGGAGGAACACCGGUGGCGAAGGCGCUCAUCUGGCCCAAUACUGACGCUGAGGCGCGAAAGCUAGGGGAGCAAACAGG
rnacentral:rRNA from 1 species